rnacentral:rRNA from 1 species
AUGAUUCUUUACAACUACAACCUGAAAUGCCUUUCACAAUUCAAAUGCCUAUGUAUAACCCAAUCUUAUUGGUAUAUAGGAAGUCUGCCCUUCUUAACUUUCUCAUUUUCAAACUUUAGUGUUGCUAAGCUUGCUAUUAAUCUUCAUAGGGUCAUUUGGGAGAAAAUAUUGGACCAGGAUCAGCAAGACCCGUUGGUGACUUGGAGAAAGCAAAAAAAAGAAGAAAAAGAAGACCGCCGAUUAUUUACAACUACAACCUGGAAUGCCUUUGACAAACCAAAUGUCGGGGUAUCUACCACAAUACAACCCAGCCCAAAUGGGUCAUCUGGGAGCUCUGCCAAAUCAUCUAUACCCCUAUUUGGCACAACAUGGUCCUACCAGUGGUACCUCUACCCCUACGAUGUUGCCAGGACAGAAUCCAUUCUUCCAACUACAGAAUCCUACCAGUCGUACCUUUAA